rnacentral:misc_RNA from 1 species
GAUGAAGAACGUAGCGAAAUGCGAUACUUGGUGUGAAUUGCAGAAUCCCGUGAACCAUCGAGUCUUUGAACGCAAGUUGCGCCUCAAGCCAUUAGGUUGAGGGCACGUCUGCCUGGGCGUCACAUAUCGUUGCCUGAUGCCAGUUUCCUCGUGAUGGGUGACUGUGCAGGGCGAAUGAUGGCUUCCUGUGAGCAUUGUUGCCUCAUGGUUGGUUGAAAAUUGAGUCCUUGGUAGGGAGCGCCGUGAUAGAUGGUGGUUGAGUGACGAACGAGACCCAAUCAUGUGAGACCCCUACCGAAUUUGGCCUUCAUGACCCACAUGCGUCUUUGGAACGCUCAUGACGAGACCUCAGGUCAGGCGGGGCUACCCGCUGAGUUUAAGCAUAUCAAUAAGCGGAGGA